GUGAGAAGAGAAAUGGGUUCACAAUAAUGAGAAUGAGGAAAAUGAGGAGGGUAUUGCAGUCUAGGGGGUGUGUGGUGAGAGAACUUAAAUUACAAAAAAAACCCUUAUAUUAAAGUAUAUUUUAUCACAACGUAGAGGAUAUUUUUGUCCAAAUUUUAUGUUCCUCACUUUUAUAUAUAUAUUGAAUUUGACUAUGCAAUCGAAAAUGGAAAAGAAAUACGGCGACGGUGACGGUGACGAUGAAUCUCCACAUGAAGUGAAGAUGAGAGAUUGUUUAGAUGAACUUGUGAACUUCACUCUCCAUUCUCACUCUCACUUUCUGAAUCAUUACCCUAUUUCUUGUCCCACACAAGCUUCUAUGGAAUUAGUUGCAUCAUAUCCAUUGUACAAGUGUAUUGCGUCAUCUCUGUUGAGCUGUAUGGAUUCUGAAGCAUUUUGUUUUACAUCAUGCAAUUUGGCUAUGCAGCAGAAAUAUGAUGAGUGGCAUAAACUGAUUGUGGACAAAGGAUCUGAAAUAGUUAAUAUUUUGAAGAGUGUUUCCUUUGAAAUCCAUGUUCAAGAGCCUUUCUUUUCACAGCUAAAAGAUGGCUUGAAAACAAUUGAAGGGAGGUGUGCCAGUGGUAAAUACAGAAGGUUUCAAUAUUUUUUAAUUUCAAAUACAUGCUUAGAUAUGUAAAGCUGUUAUCUUAACUUUCUUGAUAGCCAUUCGCCAAAUAUCUCCUGUUGUAAAAGUGUUUAAUGCAUUUACAUUUGUAAUUCACAUCAUGGAGUUAGUAGUAGAGACCAAAUUCAAUGUUGUGAGUGUUCUGAAUAUUUUGAGUUCUGAGCCCUUUUGAGGUAAAAGACAUGAAAAGUUACAUUCGAUUGGAACCCAACACCGAUUCUACUGAUCAAUCAGCUGGCUUAUUUAUUUGAAGUUUGAGAAUUUUGAUGUUUAAGAACAAAUUGAGAACAGGCUUGUAGUUCAAGACUUUGAUGUGAUUAUGAUGUCAAAGGUUUGGUUAUCGAUUUAAUUGUAACAAAGGAAAACUGCCUCUCUUCCCUGUCCAGACAGCGAAAUUAUGAGAUAUCUUCAUAUUUUCAAUGUUACGGAACAACGAUGUAGCUAAAUCGGUAAUUGCAUACUAUACAUCAUAAAAUACCAUGUUAUUAUUACUUGAGCCGUAGUACCAGCUCUCUAUGGACAUUACUUGGGUUUUAUCAUUUGUUAAUAUCUUGCUAUUGGAGUAUUGGUUGAUGUAUAUGUUGGCCAUUGUAACUUCUCAUUCAUUUUUCCUCUUGGCCUUUUAUUUUCUUUGUAUUUUGGGUUCCAGGAUUGAGUUGGGAAAUCUGAUUCUCAUAAACAAGUCUGUGGUGUUUGAAGUUCAGGGAAUCCGGAAGUAUCCUACAUUCUCUGACAUGUUGGCAGCAGAAAGCUUGGAAAAGGUUCUCCCAGGGGUUGGAAGUGUUGAAGAAGGUGUAAAAGUCUACCGGAGAUUUUACACGGAAGAAAGGGAACAGGCAAAUGGUGUUAUUGCCAUCGUUCUUUCGAAAGUUGCCCUUCAACCAUACAUUUCUUUGGCUAAUUUAUUUUCUGUGAACUAAUGUGAUGUCUUGCUUUUAUAUAGGCAUUAAGCUAUGAGGGUGUUGA
rnacentral:lncRNA from 1 species